GUCCACGCUGUAAACGAUGAGUGCUAGUUGUCGGCAUGCAUGCAUGUCGGUGACGCAGCUAACGCAUUAAGCACUCCGCCUGGGGAGUACGGUCGCAAGAUUAAACUCAAAGGAAUUGACGGGGCCCGCACAAGCGGUGGAGCAUGUGGUUUAAUUCGAAGCAACGCGCAGAACCUUACCACCUUUUGACAUGUCUGGACCGCCGGAGAGAUCCGGUUUCCCUUCGGGGACCAGAACACAGGUGCUGCAUGGCUGUCGU
rnacentral:rRNA from 1 species